GAGGCAUUAGCUUAAUUAAAAGGUCUUUUUUCAUGCACGGGAUGCGGGGGAAAUCCCGUAAGUCUUU
rnacentral:tRNA from 1 species